CCUGAGCUCACCUCUCUCCCUCUCCCUUAGCUUUCCUCUCUCCAUGCUCUCCCCCCUCUCUUCUUGUCGGCGAGCCCCUCUCCACCGUCGCCAUCUGCUAUCUGCCAUCCACGCCGCUCGUCAUCCGCCGUUCGCCGUCUGUCGGAUGUAAGGAUCCAACCCUUUUUUUUUGUAUUGAUCGAGCCAUCGGGAGGUAGAGCCAUCUGUGGGGGGGCUGUGGGCGGUCGGCGGC
rnacentral:lncRNA from 1 species